rnacentral:rRNA from 1 species
CAGUCUAGGGGGUGUAGCAAUACAUCACCGGCGGACGGGUGCGUAAUGCGUGGGAAUAUACCUAUUGGUUCGGAACAACUGAGGGAAACUUCAGCUAAUACCGAAUGUGCCCUUACGGGGAAAGAUUUAUCGCCAAUGGAUUAGCCCGCGUAGGAUUAGCUAGUUGGUGGGGUAACGGCCUACCAAGGCGACGAUCCUUAGCUGUUCUGAGAGGAAGAUCAGCCACACUGGGACUGAGACACGGCCCAGACUCCUACGGGAGGCAGCAGUUGGGAAUCUUGGACAAUGGGGGAAACCCUGAUCCAGCCAUGCCGCGUGAGUGAUGAAGGCCUUCGGGUUGUAAAACUCUUUCGACGGGGACGAUAAUGACGGUACCCGUAGAAGAAGCUCCGGCUAACUUCGUGCCAGCAGCCGCGGUAAUACGAAGGGGGCUAGCGUUGUUCGGAAUUACUGGGCGUAAAG